GCCGGUGUAGCUUAACGUUAGAGCGACUGAAUCGUAAUCAGUAGAUGGAGGUUCGAUUCCUCCCGCCGGCUCC
rnacentral:tRNA from 1 species